GCUGUUAAGUGUAGCGUAACAUCCGAGUGGUCGAUUUGACCUUUAACGAGACCAGCCUCGAGACCGUGCGAGAUCUGCACCAGUUCCUGUAAGAUUUAGACAGGAAGUAGAUGUGUGUUUUGGGAUUUAUGCAUUUAAUGAUAUGGAGAUAACGAACAAUUUUCAAUCUCAAAGUCCAUAAAACAAUACAAAAUAGGAGCAAAGCAAACACAGACCUCCGAAACAUCAGAGGUGGAAUCAGGUGCCAUGGAGGAGUGAGCAUCCCCUGCUGACAGGUCACACCCACUGUCUCUUAUAUCAAUAUUCUAAGUCCGCCAAUCGCCCGUCAUACCCCUAAUAAAUUGAAACACAGUGGUGGUACAGAGAUUUGGACAAUCUAUCAUCUACAGGAUGAAGUCAGGAUCACAAACAAAUAAGAAAAUCUGUUCAAGAACUUCCAGAAACUGUCCACUGAGACAUAAAAACAUGUACAGAGGCUAUUUCAAAAUACACACAAUGCAGGAUUUGUCAAAGUUGUGCUUUUGACAAAGAAGGUUAAGUAUAAAACCUUUGUGGACAUGGCUUUUGAAACUUCUUAAAACUCUGGAAGAAUGAGGAAAAGGAACCUGGCAUUGAAAUGGAACAUGUUGGACAGGGUUAUCACGAUCAUGCAUUUAUAAAAGAUGACAGCAUAUCAGCACUACCUUAAGAUUGGAGUUGAGACCUUGCAUUUUUUACACAGAAAAUAAAGAACAGUUGCUGAAUGAAACAGAUACUCACAGAAGCAAAUGUAAUGAGCCCAAAAUAAUGGUGAUCAAUUUUGAAUGAUUUUAUUCUCUGGUUGAAAUGUUAUUGAAAUGAUACAUACUGAUCCAAUUUUAGAAGUGGUUGACAAUGAAUACUAAGUAUUUUGUUGUAUAUAAGUAUAAUGGCUUAUUUUAAAACUGUAUGAAGCUUGCAAUGUUUAUAUCAAUUGUAAUGAUUUUGUGUAGAAAUCAAUUUUUUUUAAGGAUAAAAGAUGUAAUUUUUUUCAAUUAGAAUUUCUUAAAAAGACUUUCUAAUGUAAAUACAUGUAUGGAUAAUAGAAGAUUAUUAUAUUUUCUUUUACUGUCAUUGAAAUACUGUUAUAAUGAACUGCAAUUUUACACAAAAAAUGUUUUAACAUGAAAGUUUCAAAUUUCAAGAUUUAUGAAGUUUGAAUUGUGGCUU